UAAUCAUAUUUUUGUUUCAAAUACAGUGAAUUUAAAUGCAAAUAUUUGGCUUUCACAAACAUUAACAUUACUUGCAAAGUGUCUGUGGGUUCUGCAAAGAAGGUUAUGUGAUCGGCAGGGUUUGUUUGUUAGCAACAUAACUCAAAAAAAUUAUGGACGGAUUUUGAUGAAAUUUUCAGGAAAUGUCAAAAAUGGCAUAAGGAAGAACUGAUUAGAUUUUGGGAGUGAUCCGUAUCACCGUCUGGAUCCAGGAAUUUUUUAAAAGGAUUCUUUACUAUUGGGAGAUAGGGCUAAUGGUUUUUUGAGCAUAUCUUUUGACUGAAUGUCAGCCACUUGGGCAGUUUUCAUGGUGUCAAUCACUGAAAGAGGUAUAGUCAUUUUUGUUUAUGUUUUGAUGAUGGACCGCAAGGACUUGUUCAGGCCAAGGAUCAACACAGUGCAAAUUUCUUGGAAACUUUUCCUCCCCAAAUCUGCAAAAAUUCCCUACAUUUUCAAGAAAUUGCCUGAAAUUUCCAUGAAAAUUCAAAACCAAAUUUUUGAAGUAUCCCAUGGAAAGUAUUCCAAAAUGUUUUCAAUAUUCCUCAGAUGUGUAAGUGAUACUUUACCAUAAAGUCUAAACAUUCAAAUAAAACUCCAUGUAAAUUCCUGAAAAUUUUCAAGCAAAUACCCCAAAAUUUCAAAGCAAAUUCCCUGAGGUUUGCAAAAACAUUCCCCAGUAUGCAGUGAAAAUGAUGGAAAAUUCCUCAGUCUUUCAAAAAUAAAGAAAUAAUAUGAAAAAUCCUCAAAGUUUCCAUUAAAUUCUUGAACAUUUCAAAGACCUUUCCCAAAGUUCCAAGUCAAACCCUACAAAAAACAAAAAUACAUUUCCCAAUGUCCUCUAAAAAAUUAAGCAAAAAAAAAAUUCUAAUAAUAAAAUAACAAAUCCAAAAUUUCCAUCAAAAUGCCUGAAAUUUUUCAAAUUCCCUAAAAAAAUAAGAAUUUCUCAAUUUUCUAUGGAAAUGUAAAAAAUCAAGGCAAACUUCCAACAAGACUUUCCCUAACAUGCAAAGUGCCACCAAAAUUUCCAUGAAAAGUUCUGAAAAAAUCCCAGGUAAUUCUUCCGACAUUUCAAGCAAAUAAUAAUCUAAAGAACUCUAACAGCAGAGAUUAUUAUUAUGUUGCUGGGAGGCCAAAUGUAAUGUAUUAUAUGCAUGCAGGGUAUUAGGACGUCAAGAGAAACAGUUGAAAGAUGGAACAAAUCUGCAACAAAUCAUUGGGGAACCACUUCAAAACCGCAUUGCAUAUUAAAUUACAUCACCUGAUAUAUGUAUCAAAUAAAUAAUUAUACCCAGAAUCCUUUUCAAAAUGCUGUAGUUUUACAGUUCAAAGACCACAAGUGGGCGACAAUGCACGCUGAUCGGUUUCGUUUUAUCAACACAAAAAAGGGACGAAGAAGAAGCCGAGAUGAGGAAGUGUUGUAAUGAGUGGAAACAGUGAAAAUUCCGUUAUUCCACACUCAGGUCGGCGGAGAGCAAGGUUGUAUUAUCAUGUCGUCAAAAAUCAAAUCGGCCGUUCUCGGUCAUGCAGCUCCAACAACCGGGGAUGUAACUCACUACAUGUAACUAUUGCUAUCUGUAUUGCAACCAAUGCAUAAUAUCAGAGGUGUGUAACGGUUUUCUUUGAUGUGGACGAUGAAGGCAUGUCGCUCACGUGGAGCUGCUUCACUUUGAUGUGAAGGUCAAAAAUUAUCUGUUGUGUCCUCGAGGUUGUGGGAAGAGGAUACAUCACUGGAAAACUAGCCUGAACUGACCCAUCAUGGAGGAGCUGCCGUCCUGAGCCAUUUGGGCCUCCACGUGGUCGAGGGAUCUGUGAUGUAACAGGCUCAGGCUGCAGGGUCAGUCAUGCUGCUGAUGGCAUAUCAGAUCACUCCCAAAGUCUGAGGGAU